rnacentral:rRNA from 1 species
AUUGAACGCUGGCGGCAGGCCUAACACAUGCAAGUCGAGCGAGCGGCGGACGGGUGAGUAAUGUAUGGGGACUGCCCGAUAGAGGGGGAUAACUACUGGAAACGGUGGCUAAUACCGCAUACUAUCGUAUCACCCAUAUGGGAUUAGCGAGUAGGUGGGGUAAAGGCUCACCUAGUCGACGAUCUCUAGCUGGUCUGAGAGGAUGAUCAACCACAUUGGGACUGAGACCCGUCCCAGACUCCUACGGAGGCAGCAGUGGGGAAUAGUGCACAAUGGGAGCAAGCCGGAUGCAUCCAUUCCGCGGGUAUGAAGAAGGCCUUAGGGUUGUAAAGUACUUUCAGCGGGGAGGCGUUACCCUCAGAAGAAGCACCGGCUAACUCCGUGCCAGCCGCCGCGGUAAUUC